AUUAAGACUUAAUUUUCUUUGAUUGGGUGAGUCAAACAACGGGGUAAUGACAUAUCACAUAAAUUAAAUAUCUCGCUCUUGGAAACACAUGGAAACCUCAAGUGCACAUAGUAGGCCUUAUGUACCUGAGCUUGUUUUUACAAGGAAAAUUCACUGUCAAAACAACAGAGAAGAAUGAAUGAGAAAUGAAGAAAAUAAGGAA
rnacentral:lncRNA from 1 species